AUUCAGUGUCGAGUCCUUCAAUCACCAGAUGCUAACAUACCUAUCUAAACGUAUUCACUUUUCGACGAAGGCAUUUUUAAUGCGAAUGAAUUUGGCCGUCCUGGACUGGAAUGAGAAUGUGAAUCGUAGUAUGAAAAAGGUCCGAGAUCGCACUGCAAUGAGGACAAGGUAUGUAAGACUUUACACUGUAUACUUUUAUUUACGUACAUUUUUUGACGAGAGUGACUAUGUGACGAGAGUGACUAUGAAGAGGACAGCUCAGAUAAUUAUUGAAGAUGGAUAAUUAUUGAAGAUGGGGUUAUGCCUCCCGAUUAUUCAGACUCAUCACGAUUUUGAUGAUAAUUAAUUCUGAGUUUACACGUACAUAAUUAUACAUGUACUUCACUACUACAUGAUAGCCUCGAACGUUGACCGAUAGUCCCGAUAGGUGCCGUCAUGACCUCGACCUAAUCUCCUACAAUGUGUGAAAGGUAUUCGUCGUCUACCCACACUCGUAAGUCACUCAUAAGUCACUCAGUAACCGCCUAUGUCUCAUUGGCAGCCUUCUGGACGCAACUGAGUGACACACGGUGCACACAGGCAAUUGGCAGUGAUUCAUGCCACGGACCUCUGGGUUGUGUCGGUAUCCACGAGGGUGGCCAGAGAAGUUAUUAAUUGUUGAAUAUCACGGUUGAUCUUGCUGUGACUCCCGAGUCUGGGGUUUCUGAGUCGUCAGUAGUAAUUCAACCUCAACUGGAACUGGACAGAACAAUUUGCUGGCUGAUUGUCACAAAAGAACUCGCGGAGUCUCCUAACAAAUUUGUCAGGAAGAACUUCUUCGCUGCCUUUUGUAUUGUUUUACUCACUGUAAUAUCUCUCGUUCCAUCGCUACUUGAACUCCAUGAACUCCAUUUGUAAAAAAACUUUUUGUUUAUCCUAAAAUAUAUAUGCCCCUGCCAUAGGUAUUUUUUUUAUAUGUGUAAGUGUAAGUUAAUCUAUGUUGCGUAUGUUGUGCGUUUGUGCGUAUGUAGGUGAGCAAAGAGAGUUUGAA